CCCUGUACUGGGGAACAACAACGGGAAACCGUUGCUAAUACCCCAUAAAGCCUAGAAGGGGCAUCCCUUAAAGGUCAAAGAAAUUCGGUACAGGAUGGACCCGCGUCUGAUUAGCUAGUUGGUGGGGUAAAGGCUCACCAAGGCGACGAUCAGUAGCCGACCUGAGAGGGUGAUCGGCCACACUGGAACUGAGACACGGUCCAGACUCCUACGGGAGGCAGCAGUGGGGAAUAUUGCACAAUGGGCGAAAGCCUGAUGCAGCAACGCCGCGUGAGCGAAGAAGGCCUUCGGGUCGUAAAGCUCUGUCCUAAGGGAAGAUAAAAGACGGUACCUUAGGAGGAAGCCCCGGCUAACUACGUGCCAGCAGCCGCGGUAAUACGUAGGGGGCAAGCGUUAUCCGGAAUCAUUGGGCGUAAAGGGUGCGUAGGCGGCUUUAUAAGUCAGGGGUGAAAGGCUACGGCUCAACCGUAGUAAGCCUUUGAAACUGUAGGGCUUGAGUGCAGGAGAGGAGAGUGGAAUUCCUAGUGUAGCGGUGAAAUGCGUAGAUAUUAGGAGGAACACCAGUGGCGAAGGCGACUCUCUGGACUGUAACUGACGCUGAGGCACGAAAGCGUGGGGAGCAAACAGGAUUAGAUACCCUGGUAGUCCACGCCGUAAACGAUGAGUGCUAGGUGUUGGGGGUCGAACCUCAGUGCCGCAGUUAACGCAUUAAGC
rnacentral:rRNA from 1 species